GACGAACGCUGGCGGCGUGCUUAACACAUGCAAGUCGAACGGAAAGGCCUGCUUUCCCUUGUGGAUUGCGGGUACUCGAGUGGCGAACGGGUGAGUAACACGUGAGUGAUCUGCCCCCAACUUGGUUAUAAGCCUGGGAAACUGGGUCUAAUUCCCGAUAGGACUGCAGGGUGGUGCCUGUGGUGGAAAACGAUUUUCUAGUGGUUGGGGAUGAGCUCGCGGCCUAUCAGCUUGUUGGUGGGGUAAUGGCCUACCAAGGCGGCGACGGGUAGCCGGCCUGGGAGGGUGGACGGCCACAUUGGGACUGGGAUAAGGCCCAGACUCCUACGGGAGGCAGCAGUGGGGAAGAAUGGACAAUGGGCGGAAGCCUGAAGCAGCGACGCCGCGUGGGGGAUGACGGGCUUCGGGUUGUAAACUCCUUUCGACCGAGAGGAAGCCAACUGGUUGGAAGGGUGGUGACGGUAGUGGUAGAAGAAGCACCGGCUAACUACGUG
rnacentral:rRNA from 1 species